GCCGGUAGUUAGCUCUCUGUAACUUUAACAUGGUUGCCCACUGAAGCUAAGCAGAGCUGUGCCUGGUCAGUAGCUGGAUGGAAGACCACAUGGGAAAGCUAGGUUGCAGCCGGAA
ensembl:rRNA 5S_rRNA 5S ribosomal RNA